UUGACGCCCGUCCGCUGCAAAUUGUUUAUUUUGAGAACUUUUUAACUUAAGUUUCUCGCGUGUGAGUCAUGGAAAUCGCAAAUCGAACUGAGAAUAACGAAAAGAGAAGUGCGUCGUAUGUUGUCAUGUCCAUGUUGCUGCAUUGGAGUAUUUUCAAGCUAGAAGAGGGAUGUCUAACCUUACCUGGUCACCGGGUGCAUCAUUUGAACAUUAGUGCAAGUUUGUGUUCAAAUAGUGUCCUUUCGCAGAGCAGUGAUAUGAAACUACAAAGAUGAUUGCCUUCUUGACCAACAUUUGAGGAAUGGUCGUUGAACAUUCAUGUGUGUCUCUUUGGAUAAAGUCAACGUACUGAACUCAGCAACAACUACACCGUAUGGCAGGCAUUUUCGCUUCAUUUUUUCGAGCCGCCCCGACGCGUGCGCGUCGCCGUGGUCGCCGCCUCGCUGUCGUCCACCCCAACCUGCAGCUGGUCAUUCUGGUGCGGGGCCGGCAGUGCGAGGCGAGGGCGAGGUGCGGGCCAAACCGGACUUCCCAAACGGGACGGUGCUGCGGGACGGGCACGCGACCCGGCCAGGCUGUGCGCGCUGCUCCUGCCGCACUGACUCCAUCGACAUCGGCAUGCUGUCCGUACGCGGCUGGGGAAAAGCAUCGAUUACUUCUCGCUCUCUCACACACACACACACACACACACACACACACACACACCUACGCGAACACACACACACACACCAAGCGCAUAAUGCUCGCUUCUGACGAAACUGUCAUGAAGACAUCCAUCCUUCUUCAAGACGAGGCGUGUACGCUCCGGUACGCUCUGUAUCUUACACACACACACACACACAGAGAGAGAGAGAGAGAGAGAGAGAGAGAGAGAGAGAGAGAGAGAGAGAGUCCAGUAUACGUCCCGAAGUACGUCCCCGCCACCCCUGGCCAUGCAAGGGCUCAGCCUGCAGCCCUUUGGCUCGACGGCCACCACGUGACGCUGCAAACCAUCCCUUCGUUUUCCAUUCAUUGGAAAUGAAUAUAAAAAGGUGACCUUUUCUCGCACAUCGCACCAAAAUAAAA